rnacentral:rRNA from 1 species
GGGCUUAGGACUUUUAAAACGUGCGCGUGACGCACCACUCACACGAGGCUCGAUGAAUGAGCAGCUUCGCCGACUUCAGCAGCCCGAACUUUCCCUUGAGCAGGCCGGUAAGGUGUAAGAAGUUUUAGACGUUUCGUGCUGCCUGUUAAGCGUGUCGAGUUUCUGUACGGCCACGGUGCGGCGCGCGUGCCGCGUGAUCCUGAGAUCCUCCUUCGUCUCUUUCACAAUGCGUAUGCUUGGACAAGCUGUCCCCUUUGGGGGACGGAACCGGCGCGGCGCCGGUGCUUGCUCGCCCUGCCCCAUGGUGGCCUCCGGUACGCCCGCUCGACCAGCUGCUUUCGCCGCGGCUCCGGCUCCUUCUGCGCGGCGCGACGGACGCCACCGUGGCCUCGCGCUCAGGAUCGCGCCCUGGAAGAGUCUCGCUGCUCCUCCUCCAGCCCCGCACCGCGCUCCCACCGGUACCUGCACCUCUGCCCGUCUGCCGCCGCCAAUCCUCCCCCGGCGUUGGGCCACGGCGG